UACGGAGGGUGCGAGCGUUGUCCGGAAUCAUUGGGCGUAAAGAGCGUGUAGGCGGCUUGGCAAGUCUGGUGUGAAAUCUUGCGGCUCAACCGCAAGCGGUCACUGGAAACUGCCUCGCUAGAGUCCGGAAGAGGAGAGCGGAAUUCCUGGUGUAGCGGUGGAAUGCGCAGAUAUCAGGAAGAACACCCGUGGCGAAGGCGGCUCUCUGGGACGGUACUGACGCUGAGACGCGAAAGCGUGGGGAGCGAACAGG
rnacentral:rRNA from 1 species